rnacentral:rRNA from 1 species
AUGUACAAAAGUCUCAAAGGGCAUCAGACACUAUGUGAUGUCCUCAAAAGGCAGAUCCUGAACCGAAACCCUAGGAAAGAGGGUGUUGGGUUCAAAAGGAAAAUGAAUGCUGAUGGCUCUUACUGGAAACCUGAGCAGUACCCCAAAACCACAUGGGUUGCUGCAAAGGAACCCUCAGCGGAUCCAUCCACCCUAUCUGGCUUCACUUGUGCUAAUCCCAUUGUUAUUGAUGAAUCCUUUGAUGCAAACUAUAAAUUGUUUAAGAAUCAGAAUGGUGAAGUGUUUGCCAGGUAUAUUGGUACUAACUGCAGGAAUGGACCGCCUAUGAAGAAUAUCUGGGUGCCGAAAAGGUGUUUGGAGAAUCUUCCUGUGAAUGUCAUCAUGACACCACAGGUGAAGAAGAUAAACCCAGACCACAUGCUUCAUACGGUCCAAAGGCUUCAUACAGACAGAGGACUCACCUGA